rnacentral:rRNA from 1 species
GAUGAACGCUGGCGGCGUGCCUAAUACAUGCAAGUCGAGCGAGCAGACGAGGAGCUUGCUCCUCUGACGUUAGCGGCGGACGGGUGAGUAACACGUGGAUAACCUACCUAUAAGACUGGGAUAACUUCGGGAAACCGGAGCUAAUACCGGAUAAUAUAUUGAACCGCAUGGUUCAAUAGUGAAAGACGGUUUUGCUGUCACUUAUAGAUGGAUCCGCGCCGCAUUAGCUAGUUGGUAAGGUAACGGCUUACCAAGGCAACGAUGCGUAGCCGACCUGAGAGGGUGAUCGGCCACACUGGAACUGAGACACGGUCCAGACCCCUACGGGAGGCAGCAGUAGGGAAUCUUCCGCAAUGGGCGAAAGCCUGACGGAGCAACGCCGCGUGAGUGAUGAAGGUCUUCGGAUCGUAAAACUCUGUUAUUAGGGAAGAACAAAUGUGUAAGUAACUAUGCACGUCUUGACGGUACCUAAUCAGAAAGCCACGGCUAACUACGUG